GUGUCCUCCACAAGCCGAAACCGCACCGAGUAGGCGGCCGUCCGAUCAGUGGGCGUGGGGAGGCGGCCAGGGCCCGGGCUCGCCGUCCCGGCCAUCCUGCUCGCCCUCGGCGGGAGGAGGCAGGGCGGCCCCACUCUCAGGCUUCUGCCACAUGCCUUCGGGCAGGCGGUGCCCGGCGAGCCACCCCAGAGACUGCGCCAACAGGCCAGGGAAGACGGCGGCGGGAGCACCAGGAGGUCGCGGCGAGCACCUCGGAGCCCGCCCACGGCCGCGCAGCCGCAGUCCGCGCUCCCGGCUUCCUCGGCCAAGAUGGCGGCCGGGGGCAGCGCGCAGCCCUCCGGCUCCCUCCCGGGCUGGCGGCGUGCACCGGCUGCUGCAGGUGCAGGCGCCGCGGGGCGUGUGUGCCUGUGCCGUGGGGUAAACGCCCGAAAGCAGCCACUCAGGGUGGGGAAGCUUCUCGGUGCGAGAGCUUGCACAGAGUUCGGGCACCUUUUUUUUUUUUCUUAUCUGAGAUGUUGAGGCUUAAGUGCGGCGUGCAUAGAGACAAGGCUGGCAUGGUAAGUUAGAAAAGGGCCUCUGACAGGAUGCUAGGGACAUUAAAAUUUAUCAGGACACCUGGGGAAAGACUGCAGCCUUUUGUCUACGGCCCCGGUGGCAUGUGGCGAGGAUGCUUCUGAGAGUGCGGAAGAGGAUCUUGGAGGCAGCCCGCAACACUGGUCCGUGGUUAAUUGCAAGGAUUUGUUCACCAUUUCAGAAAACAGCACUACCAACACUGUUUACAGUAUUUGAGUUACCCAAACAACACACCUCUAUUCCUCCACGUCGGUAGAUGAGUGGAGGACCUGACUCACUUCUGGGCUGUUAGUCCUGGGUGCUAUAAGCAAGCAGGCUGAGCAAGCCAUGACAGCAAGCAGUGCUCCUCCAUGGCCUCUGCUUCAGUGCCUGCCUCCAGUUCCUGGCUCCAGUUCCUGCCUCCGGUGCCUGCCUCCAGUUCCUGCCUCCGGUGCCUGCCUCCAGUUCCUGGCUCCAGUUCCUGCCUCUGGUGCCUGCCUCCAGUUCCUGCCUCUGGUGCCUGCCUCCAGUUCCUGCCUCUGGUGCCUGCCUCCAGUGCCUGCACUAACUUCCUUCAGUGAUAGACUAUGAUAUGGAAGUAUAAAGCAAAAUAAACCCUUUUCAAGUUUCUUUUGA